rnacentral:rRNA from 1 species
UGAGGAAUUUUGCGCAAUGGGAGCAAUCCUGACGCAGCAACGCCGCGUGAGUGAUGAAGGCCUUCGGGUCGUAAAGCUCUGUCAGGUGGGAAGAACGUCCACGGAGCAAACAGCUUUGUGGAGUGACGGUACCACCAGAGGAAGCACCGGCUAACUCCGUGCCAGCAGCCGCGGUAAUACGGAGGGUGCGAGCGUUAUUCGGAAUUACUGGGCGUAAAGCGCGUGCAGGCGGGAAGGCAAGUCUGAUGUGAAAGCCCCGGGCUUAACCCGGGAAGUGCAUUGGAAACUGCCUUUCUUGAGUACUGGAGAGGAAGGGGGAAUUCCCGGUGUAGAGGUGAAAUUCGUAGAGAUCGGGAGGAAUAUCAGUGGCGAAGGCGCCCUUCUGGACGGAUACUGACGCUGAGACGCGAAAGCGUGGGGAGCAAACA